UACGGAGGGUGCAAGCGUUAAUCGGAAUUACUGGGCGUAAAGCGUGCGUAGGCGGUUCGUUAAGUCUGCUGUGAAAGCCCCGGGCUCAACCUGGGAAUGGCAGUGGAUACUGGCGAGCUAGAGUGUGUCAGAGGAUGGUGGAAUUCCCGGUGUAGCGGUGAAAUGCGUAGAGAUCGGGAGGAACAUCAGUGGCGAAGGCGGCCAUCUGGGACAACACUGACGCUGAGGCACGAAAGCGUGGGGAGCAAACAGG
rnacentral:rRNA from 1 species